AUGCCCGGGGAGGCUGCCCGCGCCGAGCUGCUGCUGCCGGAGGCGGGCGGGCCGGGACCCCGCACAGAUCUGUCCUGUGAUGCGGCUGAGGCUACCACCCCAAAGGGGGACCGGCUGGAGCACUGUGCCCUGACAUCUGGGCCCAGCGCCCUGGCUCUCACGUUCCUGCACGGCAAGCCUGGUGCCCGGCCCCCGCCUGAGGGAGCCAGCUGGGAUGCAGGGCCGGGCCGCGCCCCCUCAGCCUGGGCAGUCCAGGCAGAGGGCGGCCCCAGUCCAGGGCCCGCUGAGGUUCGGCCUGCUGAAGGUCCUCUCCCAGCCUCCCUGGAGCCCCGGAUUGUCAUGGGCGAGGAGACGUGCCAGGCAGCCCCGCUGCCCAGGGCAACCAUGCCGGAGCUCAGGGACUGGGAGGGUGGGCAUGCUAAUCUGAACCCACCCCCAGAGUUGUGUUCUCAGGGUGACCCUCCUGUGCCUUUCCCUGCCCCAGACUCCGAUUCCUACUUCACGCCUCCCUCCACCCCCACCAAGACAGCCUCCACCCUGCUCCCUGGCCCCGGGCCCCACAGGGACACCCAGGAUGCCCAGGCUGAGCUGGGGGACUCGCCGCCAGCCUCGCCCACUGGCUCGUACAUCACGGCAGAUGGGGACAGCUGGGCCUCAUCCCCAUCCUGCUCCCUGAGCCUUCAGGCCCUGGCCGAAGGGCUGGAUGUGCCCUCGGGCUGGGGCUUCUCUCCACCCGGCUCUGUGGUCGAUGAGAGGGAGCUGCCCCCUGCAGGGACCCCGGACAGCUCGUCCCCAGAGUCCAGCCUCUCAGCAGACAGCAGCUCUUCCUGGGGCCAGGAGGGCCACUUCUUCGAGCUGGACUUCUUGGCCAAUGACCCAAUGAUCCCUGCUUACCUCCUGCCCUUCCAGGGCAGCCUGAUUUUCCAGGUGGAGGCGGUGGAGGUGACACCCCUGCCCCACGAGGAGGAGGAAGUGGAGGAGGAGGAGCAAGAAGAGGAGCAGGAGGUCCCCCUCCCCAGAGGGGAUCUAGCCGGGGAGGGCGAGGAUGAUAGCACAUUCGCAUCCUCCCUGCAGUCGCUGUCCGACCUGUCCAUCACCGAGGGCGUGGAUGAGGCCUUCGCCUUCCGGGAUGACACUUCAGCUGCCUCCUCUGACCCCGACUCGGCCUCCUACACGGGGGCUGAUGAUGAGAGGCUGUACAGCGGAGAGCCCCACGCACAGCCCACCACACUGCUCCAGGACAGCCCUGGGGAGGCUGCCUCCUGGGGCCCAGAGCUCACUCUUGGGGUGUCCAAGGGAGAGGCUGGCCAGGCUGCCAAGAGUCAGGAACCCAUCUCCGAGAUAACGAGGGUGGGUCCCGCUGCAGCCCAGGUGUCUUCUGCUAUGGCCCUUCACAUCCCACAGGAAUCUCUGGACCACACUGGGAUGAGCCCUCAGGCCCAGAGAGAAGAGCCAGGCUCCACCAUGGGACCAGUACCUGUUGCCCCAGUCACGUCUCAGCCCCUGCAGGAGGGAGAUAUUGCUACUUUAGGCCCAGAGCCCUGGAUUUCGAAGGGAGAAGCAGACCUCAACUGUCUACAAACCCUGAAGGAAGACACAGGCCAGGGGUUUGCCACUGCAACCAGCCCUGAACCCCAGCCAGAAGUGGAUCCAGCAGCAUUGCCACCCCUGCAGGAUGCAGGUAUCCCCUGGGUCCAGGAAUCUGCCUCUGAGACCAGCCUUGAGCCCCAGUUGGAAGAAGAAGGCCUGACAGCAUCCUCACCCCUGCAGGAUGCAGGUCUCCCCUUGGUCCAGGAAUCUGCCUCUGAAGCUAGCCCGGAGCCCCAGUCAGAAGAAGAAGAUCUGACAGCAUCUUCAACCUCACAGGAUGCAGGUCUCCCCUUGGUCCAGGGAUCUGCCUCUGAGGCCUGCCCUGAGCCCCAAUCAGAAGAAGAAGAUCUAACAGCAUCCUCACCUCUGCAGGAUGCAGGUCCCCACUUGGUCCAGGGAUCUUCCUCUGAAGCUAGCCCGGAGCCCCAAUCAGAAGAAGAUCUGACAGCAUCCUCAACCUCACAGGAUGCAGGUCUCCCUUUGGUCCAGGGAUCUGUAUCUGAGGUCAGCCCUGAGCCCCAGUCAGAAGAAGAUCUGACAGCAUCCUUACCCCUGAAGGAUGAAGGUCUCCCCUUGGUCCAGGGAUCUGCCUCUGAGGCCAGCCUGGAGCCCCAGUCAGAAGAAGAAGAUCUGACAGCAUCCUUAUCCCUGAAGGAUGCAGGUCUCCCCUUGGUCCAGAGAUCUGCCUCUGAGGCCAGCCUGGAGCCCCAGUCAGAGGAAGAUCUGACAGCAUCCUUACCCCUGAAGGAUGAAGGUCUCCCUUUGGUCCAGGGAUCUGCCUCCAAGGCCAGCUCUGAGCCCCAGUCAGAAGAAGAUCUGACAGCAUCCUUAUCCCUGAAGAAUGAAGGUCUCCCCUUAGUCCAGGGAUCUGCCUCCGAGGCCAGCCCUGAGCCCCAGUCAGAAGAAGAUCUAACAGCAUCCUCACCCCUGCAGGAUGAAUGUCUCCCCUUGGUCCAGGGAUCUGCCUCCAAGGCCAGCCCUGAGCCCCAGUCAGAAGAAAAAGAUCUAGCAGCAUCCUCACCCCUGAAGGAUGAAUGUCUCCCCUUGGUCCAGGGAUCUGCCUCUGAGGCCAGCCCUGAGCCCCAGUCAGAAGAUCUAACAGCAUCCUCACCUCUGCAGGAUGCAGCUCUCCGUUUGGUCCAGGGAUCUGUCUUCGAGGCCAGCCCUGAGCCCCACUCAGAAGAGGACCUGACAGCUUCUCCACCCCUGCAGGACACAGGUCUCCCCUUGGUCCAGGGAUCUGCUUCUGAGGCCAGCCCUGAGCCCCAGUCAGAAGAAGAGGACCUGACAGCCUCCCCACCCCUGCAGGAUGCAGGUCUCCCCUUGGUCCAUGGAUCUGCCUCCGAGGCCAGCCCUGAGCUCCAGUCAGAAGUGACAGCAUCCCCACCCCUGCAGGAUGCAGGUCUCCCCUGGGUCCAAGGAUCUGCUUCUGAGGCCAGCCCUGACCACCAGUCCGAUCUGAAAGCAUCCUUGCCCCUGCAGGAUGCAGGACUUCCCUUGGUCCAGGGAUCUGCCUCUGAGGCCAGCCCUGAGCCCCAGUCAGAAGAAGAUCUAACAGCAUCCUCACCCCUGCAGGAUGAAUGUCUCCCCUUGGUCGAGGGAUCUGCCUCCAAGGCCAGCCCUGAGCUCCAGUCAGAAGAAGAAGUGACAGUAUCCCCACCCCUGCAGGUUGCAGGUCUCCCCUUGGUCCAGGGAUCUGCCUCCGAUGCUACUUCAGAGCCCCAGUCAGAAGAGCUGACAGCAUCCUCGCACCUGCAGGACGCAGGUCUCCCCUUGAUCCAGGGAUCUGUUUCCGAGGCCAGCCCUGAGCCCCAGUCAGAAGAAGAGGAGCUGACAGCAUCCUCACACCUGCAGGACGCAGGUCUCCCCUCGGUCCAGGGAUCUGUUUCCGAGGCCAGCCCUGAGCCCCAGUCAGAAGAAGAGGAGCUGACGGCCUCCCCAUCCCUGCAGGACGCAGGACUCCCCUUGGUCCAGGGAUCUGCAUCUGAGGUCAGCCCUGAGCUCCAGUCAGAAGAGGACCUGACAGCCUCCCCACCCCUGCAGGAUGCAGGACUCCCCUUGGUCCAGGGAUCUGCAUCUGAGGUCAGCCCUGAGCCCCAGUCAGAAGAAGAGGACCUGACAGCCUCCCCACCCCUGCAGGAUGCAGGUCUCCCCUUGGUCCAGGGAUCUGCCUCCGAUGCCAGCUCAGAGCCCCAGUCAGAAGAUCUCACAGCCUCCCCAACUCUGCAGGACGCAGGUCUCCCCUUGGUCCAGGGAUCUGUUUCUGAGGCCAGCCCAGAGCCCCACUCAGAAGAAGAGGAGCUGACAGCCUCCCCCCCGCUGCAGGAUGCAGGUCUCCCCUUGGUCCAGGGAUCUGUUUCUGAGGCCAGCCCAGAGCCCCACUCAGAAGAAGAGGAGCUGACAGCCUCCCCCCCGCUGCAGGACGCAGGUCUCCCCUUGGUCCAGGGAUCUGUUUCUGAGGCCAGCCCAGAGCCCCACUCAGAAGAAGAGCUUACAGCCUCCCCACCCCUGCAGGAUGCAGGUCUCCCCUUGGUCCAGGGAUCUGUUUCUGAGGCCAGCCUGGAGCCCCACUCAGAAGAGGAGCCGACAGCCUCCCCGCCCCUGCAGGACGCAGGUCUUCCCUUGGUCCAGGGAUCUGCCUCUGAUGCCAGCUCAGAGCCCCAGUCCGAAGAAGAGGAGCUUACAGCCUCCCCAACUCUGCAGGAUGCAGGUCUCCCCUUGGUCCAGGGAUCUGCCUCCGAUGCCAGUUCAGAGCCCCACUCAGAAGAAGAGGAGCUGACAGCCUCCCCGCCCCUGCAGGACGCAGGUCUUCCCUUGGUCCAGGGAUCUGCCUCUGAUGCCAGCUCAGAGCCCCAGUCUGAAGAAGAGGAGCUGACAGCCUCCCCGCCCCUGCAGGACGCAGGUCUUCCCUUGGUCCAGGGAUCUGUUUCUGAGGCCAGCUCAGAGCCCCACUCAGAAGAGGAGCUGACAGCCUCCCCGCCCCUGCAGGACGCAGGUCUCCCCUUGGUCCAGGGAUCUGCCUCCGAUGCCAGCUCAGAGCCCCAGUCCGAAGAAGAUCUCACAGCCUGCCCAACUCUGCAGGACACAGGUCUCCCUUUGGUCCAGGGAUCAGCCUCCAAGGUCAGCCCGGAGCCCCAGUCAGAUCUCACAGCCUCCCCAACCCUGCAGGAUGCAGGUCUCCCCUUGGUCCAGGGAUCAGCCUCCAAGGCCAGCCCGGAGCCCCAGUCAGAAGAAGAUCUCACAGCCUUCCCGCCCCUGCAGGAAGCAGGUCUCCCCUCCAGUCAAGUAUCUGCCACCAGUGCCAGCCCUCAGGCCCCGAUGACUGACACAGGCUGUAUCCAAGAGACAGAGCCCACAGCCACUGCAGCCCAUAGGAAAGGAAGAAAGACCCUGGGACUGAGGCCAGCACCUGAGGAAAGAGACCCAGACCACACUCGAGGAUCAGACUCUCUGGCCUUGGAUCAGAUACAUCUGGGUGGCCCAGACCUACCUGCAGAUGCUCGGACACCCUUGGAGGGAGAUGCAGGCCCCUCCAAGCCUGCCACAGAGGUCCCAGACACACCUGAGCCUUUCACAGCCACCCAAGGUCCCCCAAAGCCUGACUCCAGUGGGGAGGAAGUAGCCAAGGGCAUUUUGGCACCUGAGCAGGAAGCCUGUCAUGAUGUUUGUGCACAUGGGGAUGAUGGAGCUGAGUCCAGCUCACCCCCAAAGGAGGCCCUGGGGGCUGAGCACCAGGGCCAUGAGGCCCUAAAGCCAGUGGUUCAUGGCCCAGGGGUGUGUCCUACUGCCAGCCUGGAGGUUGGCCAGUUGGGGCCCCCAAGCCCAGUGGAGGAAGGAAGGGCUACUCUUGGGCACAGGCUUCCCAUGGCUGUGGGCUCAGAGGUUGGGCUGAGCUCCUGCUCAGAGUCUCCUUCAAGAGCUGUGCCCAGGCUGGGAGGGCACUGUGCCAAAGAUCCUGCCCCAACAUCUCCACUGCCCUUGAGGCAGCCAAAGCCUGUGCUGGGCCCAGGCAGGGGAGAGCAGGCCCAGGCAGCACUUGGAGCCCUUGGCCCCACCCCGCUGCAGCCUCCAGAAAGCCCCAUAGGGGGUCUUCCCAGUGCACCCCAAGACAGGAUCCAGGGCCCUGAGCCCCCUGCUCCUGGUGUCCUCAUGGAGGCAGUUCCAAGCCCCCUGGCAUCCCCUGCUCCCUGCCCUUGCCGGGGACCCCGGGAAGACUUGGUGGAGGGCGCGGAGCCCCUGGGCUCUCCGAGCCACCCACCACCUCGGCCAAGAACCCAGCGGGCGGUGGCUGCCUCCUCAGGGAUCACAAACCCCCCUGGGGCUGGGCAGGUCAGCCUCCCACCCCACCCCACCCUCCUCAGCCCCAAGGCAGCCCCCAAGAGGGGUACCCAUGCCAAAGACCCAGCCUCGAGGCUCUCACCCCCUCGCCAAGUGCCUCCUGGCUCUGGACCCCGGAGCCCAGCCGGCCCUCGAGGGCUCCCAGCCACCGAGCAGCAGGAUGACGGCGACAGUUUGGAGGAAGACUCGCCCCGCGCUCUGGGCUCUGGCCAGCACUCGGACAGCCACGGGGAGUCGUCAGCCGAGCUGGAGGAGCAGGACCUCCCAGGACCACAGACCGCACAGUGCCCAGCCCAGGCCCCAGCUGGCAGUGGGAGCGAGGAGACAGUCGCCAAAGCCAAGCAGAGUCGCAGUGAGAAGAAGGCCCGAAAGGCGAUGUCCAAGCUGGGCUUACGACAGAUCCAGGGGGUCACCAGGAUCACCAUCCAGAAGUCCAAGAACAUCCUCUUUGUCAUUGCCAAGCCCGAUGUCUUUAAGAGCCCAGCCUCAGACACCUACGUGGUCUUCGGCGAGGCCAAGAUCGAGGACCUGUCGCAGCAGGUGCACAGAGCUGCGGCUGAGAAGUUCAAAGUGCCCUCGGAGCCCUCCGCCCUGGUGCCUGAGUCAGCACCUGGGCCGAGGGUGAGACCCGAGUGCGAGGAGGAGGAGGAGGAGGAAGAGGAGGAGGAGGUGAGGCCAAGGGGCCCACGGCUCAGUCUUGUGGAGGGGGGCCUCUCACUGGGGGAGGGGGCCGCUCCAGCACCUCCCUGCAUAUCCCACUCCAGGUGGACGAGGCAGGACUGGAGCUGCGGGACAUCGAGCUGGUGAUGGCGCAGGCCAACGUGUCAAGGGCCAAGGCCGUGCGGGCCCUGAGGGACAACCAGAGUGACAUCGUCAACGCCAUCAUG
rnacentral:lncRNA from 1 species